UUAAGCGACUAAGCGUACACGGUGGAUGCCCUGGCAGUCAGAGGCGAUGAAGGACGUGCUAAUCUGCGAAAAGCGUCGGUAAGGUGAUAUGAACCGUUAUAGCCGGCGAUGUCCGAAUGGGGAAACCCAGUGCAAUUCGUUGCACUAUCGUUAACUGAAUACAUAGGUUAACGAGGCGAACCGGGGGAACUGAAACAUCUAAGUACCCCGAGGAAAAGAAAUCAACCGAGAUUCCCCCAGUAGCGGCGAGCGAACGGGGAGCAGCCCAGAGUCUGAAUCAGCUUGUGUGUUAGUGGAACGGUCUGGAAAGUCCGACGGUACAGGGUGAUAGUCCCGUACACCAAAAUGCACAGGCUGUGAACUCGAAGAGUAGGGCGGGACACGUGGUAUCCUGUCUGAAUAUGGGGGGACCAUCCUCCAAGGCUAAAUACUCCUGACUGACCGAUAGUGAACCAGUACCGUGAGGGAAAGGCGAAAAGAACCCCGGCGAGGGGAGUGAAAAAGAACCUGAAACCGUGUACGUACAAGCAGUGGGAGCACCUUCGGGUGUGACUGCGUACCUUUUGUAUAAUGGGUCAGCGACUUAUAUUCUGUAGCAAGGUUAACCGUAUAGGGGAGCCGCAGGGAAACCGAGUCUUAACUGGGCGUUAAGUUGCAGGGUAUAGACCCGAAACCCGGUGAUCUAGCCAUGGGCAGGUUGAAGGUUGGGUAACACUAACUGGAGGACCGAACCGACUAAUGUUGAAAAAUUAGCGGAUGACUUGUGGCUGGGGGUGAAAGGCCAAUCAAACCGGGAGAUAGCUGGUUCUCCCCGAAAGCUAUUUAGGUAGCGCCUCGUGAACUCAUCUUCGGGGGUAGAGCACUGUUUCGGCUAGGGGGUCAUCCCGACUUACCAACCCGAUGCAAACUACGAAUACCGAAGAAUGUUAUCACGGGAGACACACGGCGGGUGCUAACGUCCGUCGUGAAGAGGGAAACAACCCAGACCGCCAGCUAAGGUCCCAAAGUCAUGGUUAAGUGGGAAACGAUGUGGGAAGGCACAGACAGCCAGGAUGUUGGCUUAGAAGCAGCCAUCAUUUAAAGAAAGCGUAAUAGCUCACUGGUCGAGUCGGCCUGCGCGGAAGAUGUAACGGGGCUAAACCAUGCACCGAAGCUGCGGCAGCGACACUAUGUGUUGUUGGGUAGGGGAGCGUUCUGUAAGCCUGCGAAGGUGACCUGUGAGGGUUGCUGGAGGUAUCAGAAGUGCGAAUGCUGACAUAAGUAACGAUAAAGCGGGUGAAAAGCCCGCUCGCCGGAAGACCAAGGGUUCCUGUCCAACGUUAAUCGGGGCAGGGUGAGUCGACCCCUAAGGCGAGGCCGAAAGGCGUAGUCGAUGGGAAACAGGUUAAUAUUCCUGUACUUGGUGUUACUGCGAAGGGGGGACGGAGAAGGCUAUGUUAGCCGGGCGACGGUUGUCCCGGUUUAAGCAUGUAGGCUGGUUGUCCAGGCAAAUCCGGAUAAUCAAGGCUGAGGUGUGAUGACGAGGCACUACGGUGCUGAAGUAACAAAUGCCCUGCUUCCAGGAAAAGCCUCUAAGCAUCAGGUAACAUCAAAUCGUACCCCAAACCGACACAGGUGGUCAGGUAGAGAAUACCAAGGCGCUUGAGAGAACUCGGGUGAAGGAACUAGGCAAAAUGGUGCCGUAACUUCGGGAGAAGGCACGCUGGUGUGUAGGUGAAGUCCCUGCGGAUGGAGCUGAGACCAGUCGAAGAUACCAGCUGGCUGCAACUGUUUAUUAAAAACACAGCACUGUGCAAACACGAAAGUGGACGUAUACGGUGUGACGCCUGCCCGGUGCCGGAAGGUUAAUUGAUGGGGUUAUCCGUAAGGAGAAGCUCUUGAUCGAAGCCCCGGUAAACGGCGGCCGUAACUAUAACGGUCCUAAGGUAGCGAAAUUCCUUGUCGGGUAAGUUCCGACCUGCACGAAUGGCGUAAUGAUGGCCAGGCUGUCUCCACCCGAGACUCAGUGAAAUUGAACUCGCUGUGAAGAUGCAGUGUACCCGCGGCAAGACGGAAAGACCCCGUGAACCUUUACUAUAGCUUGACACUGAACAUUGAGCCUUGAUGUGUAGGAUAGGUGGGAGGCUUUGAAGCGUGGACGCCAGUCUGCGUGGAGCCAACCUUGAAAUACCACCCUUUAAUGUUUGAUGUUCUAACGUUGGCCCCUUACCGGGGUUGCGGACAGUGUCUGGUGGGUAGUUUGACUGGGGCGGUCUCCUCCCAAAGCGUAACGGAGGAGCACGAAGGUUAGCUAAUCCUGGUCGGACAUCAGGAGGUUAGUGCAAUGGCAUAAGCUAGCUUGACUGCGAGCGUGACGGCGCGAGCAGGUGCGAAAGCAGGUCAUAGUGAUCCGGUGGUUCUGAAUGGAAGGGCCAUCGCUCAACGGAUAAAAGGUACUCCGGGGAUAACAGGCUGAUACCGCCCAAGAGUUCAUAUCGACGGCGGUGUUUGGCACCUCGAUGUCGGCUCAUCACAUCCUGGGGCUGAAGUAGGUCCCAAGGGUAUGGCUGUUCGCCAUUUAAAGUGGUACGCGAGCUGGGUUUAGAACGUCGUGAGACAGUUCGGUCCCUAUCUGCCGUGGGCGCUGGAGAAUUGAGGGGGGCUGCUCCUAGUACGAGAGGACCGGAGUGGACGCAUCACUGGUGUUCGGGUUGUCAUGCCAAUGGCACUGCCCGGUAGCUAAAUGCGGAAGAGAUAAGUGCUGAAAGCAUCUAAGCACGAAACUUGCCCCGAGAUGAGUUCUCCCUGAGACUAUAAGUCUCCUGAAGGAACGUUAAAGACGAUGACGUUGAUAGGCCGGGUGUGUAAGCGCAGCGAUGCGUUGAGCUAACCGGUACUAAUGAACCGUGAGGCUUAACCUU
rnacentral:rRNA from 1 species